rnacentral:rRNA from 1 species
GACGUAGGGCGCGAGCGUUGUCCGGAUUUAUUGGGCGUAAAGAGCUCGUAGGCGGCUUGUUGCGUCGGCUGUGAAAACCCGCAGCUCAACUGUGGGCUUGCAGCCGAUACGGGCAGGCUAGAAUUCGGUAGGGGAGACUGGAAUUCCUGGUGUAGCGGUGAAAUGCGCAGAUAUCAGGAGGAACACCGGUGGCGAAGGCGGGUCUCUGGGCCGUAACUGGCGCUGAGGAGCGAAAGCGUGGGGAGCGAACAGG